UAGAGCUCAAGGCUUACAUCUGAUGAAGGCUUAGUUCACAAUAACUUGAUCUUAAAAUGUUGGCAUUGGCCAAGUCCUUUUUGCACAGGGAAUGUUGCCUAACCCUAAGUCCAAGAGUUCAGAUCAAGAACAACAGUCCACCAAACGUUUUUUAGGGUUUUUGUUGUUAUUAGGUAUUUUAAGGUCCUAAGACCACAAACAAAACCAAAAUGCACAAACAGUAUAUACAAGCACAAGAUAUGGCUCAAAUGAGCAAAG
rnacentral:lncRNA from 1 species